GAUAGCAGUGGGGCUGGACUGCAAAGCACACUUAAGAAGCACAGUCUGUGGUGUUCGGUUCGAAAAUAAAUAUCUAAGUACAACCGAACAUUUGGUUUUUUGAACUCAUACACAACAAUGGAAAUGGCUGCUUUUUAUGCAGCAAACCGAAAAUAAAGCGUACGAGCCAGCGUGGCCACAAGCUAUUUCAGAUGGUCGCAACAGCGAAGCCGAUCCAACCGCACCGCACGUGCAGAGAGCCAAAGAGCAACUGAAACAAAACGAAACGCUCGCGCGAUCAGCAACAACUGAUGAAAGCGGCGGACGGUACCAUCCGAACAGACGAACCCGCGACCAAUCGACGAGCCCAGAAAAAUAAAACAAAACAACAACAACAACAAAAACUAGCUGCAACAGGCAAUUGCCCGCGGGCAAAGCUGUGACGUGAUCGAUGACAAAUCGCUGAAGCGUGCAGCACAGAAAAUUUCACUCAAUCCAUGGACACAUGAGUGGCAAGUCUCGCUCUACAGCUUUCUAUACAAACGUAUAAGGAUAUAUAUAUACAUAUAUAUAUAUAUACAUGUACUUAUGGUGGUUAGCAUGUUUUUAUACUCUUGCGAGGAUUCGUUUGCAUUGUCAUUCAGUGUGCAACGUAAUAUAAGUGGCAUGUAAAUAUGCCUUAAGGUACAUACAACUAAAUAUACGAGUAUUUUAUGUCCUUGUAUACACACAACCAUUCAAUACGGCUCUCAUGAAAAUGUAUGUAAAUAAAUUGAGUCCUGUUUAAAUAGCAAAGCUUCAAAUAGCUAACACAAUGUGAAUAGACUAUGUUCGUUUAAAUAUUUAAACAAAUAAUUGACAAACUCGUUGCCGAUAAGGCCUAAACUAUUUCAUUAACUAAUAUUGUACGCAAUUUUAUUGGGGCAUUUAAUGCAAAUAAAUAUGCAAUAGAAUUUCAAGUGCUCUGCCUGUGCAGUAUUGUUUCAAUUUGUUAACUGAAGUGGCUUAAAAUGUUGCCUAUUUCCCUAUUAAAUAGAUAAGCAUAAAAUGUAUAUAUAUUGUUUAUACAACAGACAGACAUUCCGAAUCUAAUUAAACUAUACAAUAAAAUACAAA